rnacentral:SRP_RNA from 1 species
GCUGGGCAUGGUGGCUUGUGCCUGUAGUCCCAGCUACUCGGGAGGCUGAGGCAGGAGGAUCGCUUGAGCCCAGGAGUUGGAGGUUGCUGUGAGCUAGGCUGAUGCCACGGCACUCACUCUAGCCUAGGCAAGAAAGCGAGACUCUGUCUCAAAAAAAAAAAAAAAUUUAAAGUAGGAAGUAAUGUUUUUGGGUUUAUUUGAGACAAGAGUCUCCUCGCCACUUGGGCUGCGGUGCAGUGGCGUCAGCCUAGCUCACAGCAUCCUCAAACUCCUGGGAUAAAGCGAUCCUCCUGCCUUA